AUUGAACGCUGGCGGCAUGCCUUACACAUGCAAGUCGAACGGUAGCGGGCCUUCGGGUGCCGACGAGUGGCGAACGGGUGAGUAAUGUAUCGGAACGUACCUUUCAGUGGGGGAUAACGUAGCGAAAGUUACGCCAAUACCGCAUAUUCGGUGCGCAGGAAAGCAGGGGAUCGCAAGACCUUGCGCUGAUUGAGCGGCCGAUAUCAGAUUAGCUAGUUGGUGGGGUAAAGGCUCACCAAGGCGACGAUCUGUAGCGGGUCUGAGAGGAUGAUCCGCCACACUGGAACUGAGACACGGUCCAGACUCCUACGGGAGGCAGCAGUGGGGAAUUUUGGACAAUGGGGGCAACCCUGAUCCAGCCAUGCCGCGUGAGUGAAGAAGGCCUUCGGGUUGUAAAGCUCUUUCGGCCGGGAAGAAAUCGUAUCAGCUAAUACCUGGUGCGGAUGACGGUACCGGCAUAAGAAGCACCGGCUAACUACGUGCCAGCCGCCGCCGUAACAC
rnacentral:rRNA from 1 species